rnacentral:lncRNA from 1 species
ACAUACUAUGGGUCCAGUCAACCAUCGGGUUGGAAUACCCCAGGCCCUCAACCAACAGGUUGGAUUGCCAAUAUACUAUGGGUCCAAUCACCAUCAGGAUGGAAUACCUCAGGCCCACAACCAACAGGUUGGAAUGCCCACAUACUAUGAGUCCAAUCAUCCUCGGGAUUGAAUACUCACGGCCCACAACCAAUAGGUAUGAAUGCUCAGGUCUAUUGGCCUCCGCACAAAGUAGAUAAGCCUCAACCGCCAAACAAACAUGUGCACAUAUAACAGAUAAUCAAAUAAUAGUCUAUAGAUAACAAUUGAUCUAAUGGAUCAUACCACAUAGCACAUAAUACCAUCCUAUCUACUAGGAUACCGAUCUAACAGAUCAUACCACAUACAACAUAAUAUUAUCCUACCCUCUAGGAUACCGAUCUAACAUAUCAUACCGCAUACCACAUAAUAUUAUCCUACCCUUGUUAGGGGUGUCAAACCCAACAAAUAAAGGGGUACAAUAGACUCCAAAUACACUGCUUUAAUGCACUAAAAAGUAGUACAAUGCAAGCAGGGUCGAACCACAGAGACACGGGACAAAAGUCUAUACCUCUUUGCACAAGGUACUUUGGUCACAAAGGGGGGUUUGUUUGCAAAAGUAAAUAACUAAAUAACAAUCUACUUAAAAAGCAUGCACAAAAUGAAAUAGAUUUGUAAACAAAUUGUAAAAGUGCUUCUUAUUCUAGUUCUCAAUGUUGUUGUUCAACUUGAUUAUGACUUGAUGUAAUUCAUGAUUGCUAUUCUAAGUUGGUACUGAAAGAUAUUAACACGCUCUAAUACCUCUCGCUUCCCAAAUUAUCUAACCAAAACACGCUCUUUGACUAGACAUAGCUUUACUAAUUCAACCUAAACACGGUCUUAGAUUGCAUUGAAAAACUGCAUUAAGUAUUGUACAAGCUUCCCAACAAUGUUCAUUUCUUCUCAUACGCUCGGAAGUGUGAAAACAUGUGAUAUAUGUUUUACAAUAAGAAAACUUAUUGCUUGUUAUCAAUUAUUAACUCAAUAGAACGAUUAGGUGCCCUAAAAGUUAUUUAACUGCACAAAAAUUCAAUUCAUGAAAGUGGCCAAUCAAACACAAAUCAAAUUCAAGGAUUCUAGUUUAAACAAAAACAUAAUCACUAGAAUGGAAUCACAAAUCAAACAUCAAAUCAUAUGCUUCAAGUCAAGCAAUCAACAUGUUUUGAACAAGAACUAGAAACUAGGGUUUCUUAGCCACACAUGGCUAAGAACAAAUCAAACAAGAAUAAAUAUGGAAUUGGAAUGUUUAAUCCUUACAAAAAUGAAAUCAAAGUGUUUGCAAUGAUUAGGUCUUCUCAAAAGCUCUAAGAAUUCUCCCUAAAAUCACCCAAGAUCGCCCAAACUACUCCCAAAACCGUUCUCCCUUCAAAUGACGUUCUUCUGCUCUUUUAAUUAAAGUUCACGUGACUUGCCAUAAGGUCAUGCGUUUUUGGCAUGGCCAUGCCUUUUGCCCAUGUGUUUUUGGCAUGGCCAUUUGUCUUGACCAUGUGUUUUUGGCAUGGCCCAUGCUUUUUGCUAAAAUUCCAAAAAGUCUUCACUGUUGGCUCCAUCUUCAUGUUUUCUGCCAUGGAAUGACCGGUUCAUCUUCUCUUCAUGUUCCAAAGCUCUAUGCUCCAAGCAUCCAAGCAUCCAUGCAUCCAAGCUCCACGUUCCAUGCUCCAUAAUGCCUGCAAAAUAAAUCAAAAAUAGUGAAGUACCAGGCAUUCUUAAUGAAAUAUGUAAUUGCCCUAAUAAUCAACUAAAUGCAAGAAUUAUGAAGUAGAAUGCUAUAAAAAGACGGAAAUAAACAUGCAAAAUAGGUGCAUAAAAUGCACCUAUCAAACCUCCCCAAGCUUAGACCUUUCUUGUCCUCAAGAAAGAGAAAAUUGAGAAUCUACCUAGAAAAGACGAUAGGUGACUAAAAAGAAACUAAGAUGAAAAGAAUGGAAGGAACGAAAAGGACUAAAUGGAAUUAAGAGUGCAUGCAUGCAAUAAAAGAAGAACUAAUGAAAAUAACAUAUGUACAAAAAGGUAUUUUUUUUCCAAACAUUAAUGCAAUGAACAAAACAAACGAACAUAUUCAAUCCAAUUAACCUCAUUAUGUCAUACAGUCGAAGGUGUAACUGUCGGGCCUUGAGAUAACUUGACAUUAACCCCACAAAGAUAUAUAACAAGUAAAACAAGGUUUUUAGCCAUUCCCUAACGCAACUCAACAAAAUCAAAAGUUACAACACUUGUUCACUUUUACAGGUAUUGGGUUAGCACAUGGAACAAAUUAUGGUCUUACUCUCGUGAAAACAUGUGAUGCAAAAUAUGCUCAUUUUCAUUUUUCAAAUCAUGACAAUGACCGACUCCAGCUAUUUGUUGACUAACAACAAUCUUUUUCUAAAAAAUAUUUUCUAAAAAUUCCCUAAUAUUUACCCAGAUUGGUUACAUGUUUCAAACCACAUAUACCAGUCAAAGUAGUUUACAGUCAGUCCCAAUGUUUACAACCAAACAUUUUUUCAAACACAUUACUCAAUUAAACUAUAAACAUAAAUAUAUACAAACUAUCUAAUUAUAUUUUUCUAUAAAUGAAGCUCAUGGCUUUCUUUGAAAUCCGUGUAACGGGCUUCCAACCAACACAUCCAAAUCAGAUGACCUUAGUGUGCUAGAUUUAAAGAGAUCCCUCGGGCUUACUUGCCCGAACCUCAAAGGCCACAUAUUAGCUUUAUUUGUUAUUAUUAAGUUCAUGACUUUCUAUGGAACCCGUGUAACGAAUUUUCAACUCAAUCAGUCCCAAACUANUAGGCAAUUAGGUGUAGAACACCCCUCGGGGUUUACUUGUUCGAAUCCCAAAGGUCACAGAUUAACUUAAUAAUAUUUUUUCUUUUUUUUUUUUCUUUUUUUUCUUUUUUUUUUUUAAUUUAAUUUAAUUUAAUUUAAUUUUUAUUUUUAUUUUUUAUUUUUUUUAUCUUGUUUGCUAGGUUUAUUUCCUUAUAUUUUAAUCUCGACUCUUUUAGGGGGACUGAUGUAAACACGCAAAGACCCGUAAAUAUAGUCGGAAACAAUGUCCCCAAGCAGGGUAUUUAGAAGAGAAUAGGUAGAAAAGACUUUUUAGAGCGCUGGAGAAUUCGAGUCACUGAAAUUUUAUAUUCAUUUUAUGGCUCUUUUGAAUUUGGAAUUUGGAUAUGAAUGAGCAAUGACUCAUACGACCGAUCGUGUGUUCUAAGGGCUAAACUAUAUCUGUCGUUAUGCUUCGAUGUUGAUAACCUUAUCAUUUUUUGUUUUGCACGAGUAGCUUCGGGAGACGUGUUCAUGUGAGAUUAGGUUGCUUCAAGCUUUUAACUAAAAAACGAACAAGUUCUAAUCUCAAGCCACGACUAAUUUACCACUUCAACUUAUUUAAGAAGAUUAGGUUCCUUUAGAUUGAUUUUUUUUUGUAUGCUUUGAAAUGAAUGCAUGGAAAAAAUGAAAAUAAGAUUUUACUUUUUUUUUGAUAAAAUGCAUGUGGGGACUAACUAGAACCUAAUAUACAAAGACCCCUCCCCAAGCUUAAGAGUUAGCAUCGUCCUCGAUGCUCGUAGAGGGUAGGGAAAUCUACUAGCUGCGAGGGGCCCAACACUACAUGAAUUGCAUGGCUUGUUGUACCGUUUGUGUCAAUUGUUGAACGUCAGCGCGAAUGUCAGCAACAACUUGAUCAAGGUGAUCAAAACGCCUCAUGUAUAUGUCGUGGUACUGAGUCGCCCGCCGAGUGUAGAAAUAACGUGCAGUCUCUACUGGGGCAGCAGAAGUGGACCCCCUUGCAGUGGGAGCAAUGGAGUGAGCAGGAGGAAUAGGGAUGUCGUCUUCGUGGUCGACGAUUGGCCGCUCAGGAGCUCUCGAGAUGGGCGCGGGAGCGCGUGGGAUGGAAUUUGCAGAAGUGGUCUUUGGUAGACACCACUAAGUCUGAGUGAUGUCCUACUGGAGUUGGAGAGUGCUGAAAUCCCCAGUAGGAACUCGGAGGUAUGGCUCACCUUGCACCAGCCAUGUGAUACUACCAUCACCUUCUCUAUGGAAGAAUGAUGAGGCUAUAAGGACAUUGGAUGUGAUGGUAUUAGUUCCUUGUGUGAUUUUCUUGAGGUUCGGGCGCUUGCUCUCAAAAAGCUCGGCACAAGCAAGGCGGGUGGCAAGAUAGGAGAUAAUCCCGCCACAAUGAAUAGGGCCAGAAUCGCUGGUAGAGAUGUUAAGAAGUUUGGAAGCAAGGAAGGCGCCAAAAUGAGGUCUCUUCAAGCCGGUGGCCAUGCACCAAAGAAUUUCUAACUCCAUCUUACCGGCUCUGCUAACGUCUUCUUGGGGGAAGACAAGGUUAGCAAUAACUCGGAGAGCCACUCUUAAGAUUGGAUGGAUGAUAUGAGAUGCUUUGGCGGAUCGAGCCUCAUACACAUCAAGUCCCGUGAUUUCCUUCCAAAAGGCUUUGACCUGGGCUUUAAAAAGAUUAUUUUUCUCUCGCAUGUAGCCUAAUUUAGGACCAUAUGUAUUGAAUUUAGAAAUCCCAACAAACCCACUAAGAUCGUCUAGACUCGGUUUAAAUUGCAAACGCAUGAGACGGAAUGAGAGACAUUUGGCAUUGUCAUUGAAUUCCAAAGAUUGUAAGAAUUCAAUGGUUGUGUUUUUAUACGAUUCCAUUGGUGCCAAAUUGAGAAGUAUCUCCUAACUGAUGUUGCUAAACAAUCUAUGGACAUCAUCAUAAACUCCUAGUUCUUGGAGAGUGGGAACAUCUACAAACCGUUGUUGAGAAUAUCCGCGGUCCUUGAGGUGAAGGAAUCGCUCACGGUGCUCAAGAGAGUUAUGAAUAAUGGUGGUGACACCAUAUUUGGAUUCCAAUUGUUCUUUUGGUUGUGGGUUUUUUCGUUUUGGCAUGAUGACAAACCAGAUUUAUGACAAACGGGUGGUGCCCAAAAAUGAUAACACAACUAGACAAGCACGAAUGAACAAUUGUAUGAAGCACGAGAAUGGAUUCACAACUAUUCCAACCAAACAAUUUUAAAUUCAAUGCGUAAAACUUGAGCUAUGGAAGGAAUGUACCAUUUAAACGCUUGGAUUUGAGGUGUUGGCUUGUAUUAUUCACUUCAUCUUCAACCUCAAGAAGGCUUGAACUCUUCAAUGGUGGAAUGUCCAAUUGGAGAUGAAAGCUUCUAAUCUUCUUUCCAAAAGUACCUCCCCAAGCUUGGUCUUGAACCCUAUACAAGAACUUUUGAAACCCAAUACAAGAAUUAAUUCAAACUAUAUAAAUUAAGAACUAGGGUUUAUGAAGAAAAAUUCAAUUUUUACCCAUUGAAUGAUGAAUUCGACCUAGAUGAUGAAUGAAGUGAAGUUAGGAAGCGAUAGUAACAUACCUUUGUGCCUCAAUCUUGGAUUAAUUGGAGAAAAAAAAAUCGAACCCUAGCCUAGGGUUGUGGGGAUCGGCCGAGAAUGGUGAGGAGAGGGAAGGAGGGAAAUCAAAUCACACGACCAUGAGAAGAAAUAAGGAAGAAAAGAAAUGAGGAACGCAUGGUUACAAAUCGAUCAAUCAAGGCUGCCGUGUGCAAGUAUACAAGUGCGAUUCGAAGGGUUGUUUAUCGGGGGCUUGGCUUGGACGCACGGGCCAUGUGUUUGUUUGAACUUGCGAUUUCUAAGUGCUUUCACAAAUGGAAACGCACGGUCUAGGCAGGCCGUGUGUUUUUCUCUUAGCCCAUGCGAUUUUCAAGUUAGCCCCGUGAAAAAAAAUUUAAUCUUUGCAAUCUUCGAUGGUAGCGCACGGGCUAAAACCUAGGCCGUGCGUUUUGGCCCUUUACCCAUGCGAUUUCGAACUAGCCCAUGGCAAAAUCUUUUUUUAAAACCUCGAAGUGGCCGCAUGGACAAAAAAUGAUGACCAUGCGUUUUAGCAUGAGCCCGUGUGUUUUUGGCUUACUCUGUGCGUUUUCUUUCUGUUAACAUGGAAUUCACGAUUUUUUUUUUCAAAACCAAAUUUUCUUUAACUAUUAGAUAGGAGAAUUAUUUGUAUGUAAACCUCGAAAAGACGCAAAAACAUUGCAACACGGAUGAAAUAAAUCAAAAUUAACAAAAUAGAAAGAAUUACUCCCGAGUUGCCUCUCGGUUAGCCGCCCUUGUUUCAAGUCUUUGGCUCGACUUAGUCCUUUAGAUUCACUCAAUGUAGUCUGGGCGUUCCAAGCUGUCAAUCUCCAUGUCUUUCUCCUGGAAGCCUUCAUAGAAGACCUUUAACCUGUGACCAUUAACUUUAAAUACUUUUCCAGUUUUGUUACUCUUAAUCUCAACUGCACCAUGAUCAAAUAUAUUAGUAACAAUGAACGGUCCCACCCACCGGGACCGUGACUUACCAGAAAACCAUUUAAGUCGAGAGUCAUAGAGUAAUACCUUUUGACCAAUCUCAAAAGGUCUUACGGGAGAGGUACUUAUCAUGGAAUGCUUUGGUCUUGUCUUUGUAGAUACGUGAACUCUCGAAUGCUUCAUUUCUUAUCUCCUCCAACUCUUGGAUCUCUAACUUUCGAUGAAAACCCGCUUCAUCAAUCUUCAUGUUUAGCUUUUUGACAGCCCAUAAAGCUUUGUUUUCCAGUUCAACAGGGACGUGACAAGCUUUGCCAAACACAAGUCUAUAAGGUGACAUCCCAAUUGGAGUUUUAUAUGCAGUUCGGUAUGCCCAAAGAGCAUCUUCUAAUCUCAAACUCCAAUCUUUGAGGUUUGUGUUCACUGUUUUCUCAAGUAUGGACUUGAUUUCUCUGUUUGACACUUCAGCUUGUCCAUUUGUUUGCAGGUGAUAAGCUGUGGACACCCGAUGUUGGACUCCAUACUUCUUGAGAACCGAUCCAAGAGUUUUGUUGCAGAAGUGUAUGCCCUUGUCACUGAUCAAGGCUUUUGGAGUUCCAAACCUACAUAAAAUGUUAGCCUUGACAAAAUCUACAACAACUUUUGCAUCAUCAGUUCUUGUUGCCUUUGCCUCUACUCAUUUGGAAACAUAGUCAACAGCCAAAAGGAUGUAUAAAUUCCCAAAGGAUGAAGGGAAAGGACCCAUAAAAUCAAUACCCCAUAUAUCAAAUAUUUCACAAACCAAGAUGGGGGUUAAGGGAAUUUGGUUUCGGGAACUCAAAGAAUCGGUCAUUUGACAUCUCUCACAACUUUUACAAAAAGUGUAAGAGUCAUGAAAAAGUUGGGGCCAAUAAAAUCCACAGUCUAAAAUUUUCCUGGCAGUUCUUUGAGGACCAAAAUGCCCUCCACAAGCAUAACUAUGACAAAAGUUGAGAAUAGAUUUUACCUCAUGUUCUUCAACACAUCUUCUUAUUACCUGAUCUGCACAAUGUUUCCAAAGGUACGGUUCAUCCCAAAUGUACCUUCUCACAUCUUUCUUGAUCUUAUCUCUCUGUGACCUCGGAGGUCGGUUGGGAACUUUCCCGUCACCAUGAAGUUGCAUAUAUCUGCAUACCAAGGUGGUGUUUGGAUAGCAAACAAGUGCUCGUCCGGGAAUGUGUCAUGGAUGGGAGUCGCAUCUUCGGGUUGAACUAUUCGGAUCAAAUGAUCGGUGACUAGGUUCUCUUUCCAGCUCUUAUCUUUGAUCUCAAUAUCGAACUCUUGCAAAAACAACAUCCACCGUAUUAACCUCGGCUUCGAAUCUUUCUUGGUAAGUAAGUGCUUUAUGGCUGCAUGGUCUGAAUAUAUGAUCACUUUAGUUCCAAGGAGGUAUUGCCGGAACUUCUCUAGUGCAAAAACAAUAGCGAGCAACUCUUUUUCUGUUGUGGUGUAGUUGCAUUGUGCACUAUCAAGGGUCUUUGAUUCAUAGUAGAUGACAUGGUGUGCUCGAUCCACCUUUUGACCUAAUACUGCCCUACAGCCGUGUUUCUCGCGUCACACAUGAUCUCAAACGGGAGAUCCCAAUUAGGUGGUUGGAUGAUUGGAGCGAAGGUGAGUAAAUCCUUCAAAAGAUCGAAGGCAUCCUUGCAUGGCUGAGUGAACUCAAAUUCAGCAUCUUUUUGGAGUAGUUGACACAUCGGCACUGUAAUCUUUGAAAAAUCUUUAAUGAACCGCCGAUAGAAACCUGCAUGGCCAAGAAACGAACGAACUUCCCGAACAUUUGUCGGGUAAGGAAGACUUUUGAUAACAUCUAUCUUGGCUUUGUCAACUUCCAAGCCUUUUCGGGACACAAUAUGACCUAGAAUCAAUCCUUUGUCCACCAUGAAAUGGCAUUUUUCAUAGUUAAGCACAAGAUCUGUGUCAAUGCACCUUUGCAAAAUUUUUGUUAGAUUGCUCAAACAUUCAUCAAAGGAGUUUCCNAAUUUUUGUUGGAUUCCUCAAACAUUCAUCAAAGGAGUUUCCAUAGACUGUGAAGUCAUCCAUGAAAACUUCAAUGAUGUUUUCAACAUAUUCAGAAAAAAUGCUCACCAUGCAUCUCUGAAAUGUUGCAGGUGCAUUGCAUAGACCAAAAGGCAUACGCCUAUAGGCAAAUGUGCCAAAGGGACAAGUGAAGUUGGUUUUCUCUUGGUCUUCCGGGGCUACCGAAAUUUGAUAAAACCCGAGAAACCAUCCAAGCAACAAUAAUGAGAUUUACCCGCCAAUCUCUCUAACAUUUGGUCAAUAAAUGGCAAAGGAAAAUGUUCUUUUCUCGUUGAGGCAUUCAACUUUCUAUAGUCAAUACAAACCCUCCACCCGUUUUGCACACGGGUUGGCACCAAAUCUCCCUCAGAAUUCUUGACAACUAUGACCCCGGCUUUUUUCGGGACUACCUGAACAUGGCUCACCCAUUUACUAUAUGAGAUAGGGUAAAUCAUACGUGCAUCCAAAAGCUUCAUGAUUUCUUUCUUUACCACCUCCAUCAUGGGUGGAUUCAGUCUUCUCUGUGCCUCUCGAGUUGGUUUGAAGUCCUCCCCCAUGAGGAUCUUAUGCAUGCACAAGGAAGGGCUCAGCCCUUUUAUGUCAGCAAUUGUCCACCCAAUAGCUUUCUUAUACUUUUUCAGCAAAGUCACAAAUUCAUCUUCUUCUGCAAUGGACAGCUUGUUGGAGAUAAUGACAGACAAAGUCUUUUCUUCCCCAAGGUAUGCAUACUUCAAAUGAUCUGGAAGAGUCUUCAAUUCUAGCUUAGGUGCCUGCACAACGGAAGGAAGAAGUUUUGUGUUAGAAAUUGGCAAUUUCACAUUACUAUUAUCAUACCUCAUUUUCUUCUUUUCUUCCAUGCUCUCCACAAUUUCCAGCAACUCUUCAUCUAACUUGAAAUUUUCUGCAAUCUCUUUGACUGAAUUGUUAUCAAAAUUCCUGCUCAAAACUAACUCCAACAAAUCAUGGUUAGUCAACUAUAAACACUUUUCAAUCAAAUGUUGGAUUAUAUCAACAAAAUUUAUGCAAUGAACAUCACUUGGGUACCUCAUUGCUUUAUAGAUAUUGAAGUUGAUGACCUCCCUAUCGAAUUCCAUGGACAAUGUACCAUUGUAGACAUCAAUUUUUGUUCUUGCUGUUUUCAAGAAUGGUCUACCUAAAAUUAUGGAACUCGAGGAUGGAUGGUCAUCAUCUCCCAUAUCAAGCACAUAAAAAUCUGCAGGAAAGACAAGCUCAUUAACUUGCACAAAAACAUCCUCUAAUACACCUUUUGGGUGUACUAUAGAACGAUCUGCAAGUUGGAUGAUCACCCCUGUUUUUGUUAAAGUGCCUAUGCCAAUAGAUUUAUAAACAGAAUAUGGUAAAACAUUAAUUGAAGCUCCUAAAUCUAACAUAGCACGGGGGACAUACAAGUUUCCCAAUUUGCAAGGAACGGUGAAAACACCUGGAUCCUUGCACUUUGGGGGCAUCCUUUUCUACAAAACUGCAGAAACAUUUUCACUUACUUUCACUGUCUCAUUACCUCGUAGCUUCUUUUUAGAUGUGCAAAGUUCCUUAAGGAACUUAGCAUAUCUAGGUACCUGUUUGAUCGCAUCUAAGAGAGGAAUGUUGACUUCAACUUUCCGGAACAUUGCCAUGAUUUCACUAUCUUCUUUCUCUUUUUUGUUGCUGCUUAAUCUUGAUGGAAAAGGUGGUGGUGUGAUCUUUGCUUCUUUCUCUUCCGACUUCUUUUUCUCCACCAUUUCUUCUUUCUUUUCAUCCUUAUUUGGUGGUUCUUCUAUCACCAACUACUCUUCUUCUACUUCUUCGGGCAUCUUCGGGCCGUCAUAUUUCUUUCCGCUCCUUAAGCUAAUUGCACAAGCAUUGUGCUUUGGGUUCUUUUCUGUUUGAGGAGGUAGUUUUCCUUGAUUCUCCAUUUUGCUCACCGAUUGAGCAAGUUGUGCCAUUUGUUGCUCAAGAUUCUUGAUGCUUGCCUUGGUCUCUUGCUGAAAACUUUGGGUGCUGGUGGCAAGGCUUUUGACUAUGUCUUCUAAGGACAUACUUGAGGAUCCGACUUGUUGAGGAGGAGGUUGUUGUUGCCUCGGUUGGUAACUUUGUUGUCGGAACGGAGGCCUUGCUUGGUAAUGGGGUGGUGGUCAUUGUUGAUAGCCCAUGUUUUGGUUGUUGUUCCACCCUUGAUUGCCUCGGGGCAGAUCAUAAGUUCUUUGAUUAUGCCCGGAAUAGCCGCCUAUAACAUUUGCUUCUUCAUAUUCUUCUUCUUGCAAUUGAGGACACUAAUCAGUCGGGUGUCCCACUUGAGUGCAAAUGCCACAGGGACGAGGUGUGGAUUGCACACCUUUGUCCUUAGCAAGCAUCAUUACCACCUUAGUCAACUCGGAUAGUUGAGCUUCAAUUUGAGGAGUGUGCACCUCUUUUACACCUCGAGGUGCAUCUGUGUACCAAUCUUCAUCUUGACUAGUAUGCUUUGAAUCCUCUGCCAUGUUUUUUAUGAGAUCUCGAAUCUCCAUUGGGGUCUUGUCAGUCAAAGAUCCUCUACUUGAAGCAUUAAGAAGUCUUCUUUCCCAAGGAGUCAUGCCUUCAAUGAAGUAUUGAAGGAUUUGAUACUCACUAAUACCAUGCUUUGGGCAACGGGCACAAAGCUUUUUGAACCUCUCCCAAUAUGUAUGAAAGGCUUCUCUUUUGUGUUGUUUGAUCCCAAUUAUCUCUCUUCUUAGGGCUGAGGCUUUCAUUUCUGGGAAGUAUUUGUCUAAGAAGAGGCGUGCAAGAUCUACCCAUGUGUUGACCGUCCCCGGUGGAAGGUCAUAAAUCCAAUCUUUUGUUGAGUCUUGCACUGCGAAGGAGAAUGCCCUAAGCUUGAUUUGGUCUUCAGUGACAUUGUGUGGUUUCAUGCCAACACACACAACAUGGAACUACAUGAGGAACUUGUGGGGAUCUUCAUUUUCUAAACCUCUAAAGGUUGGGAGUAAGUGAAUGAGACUGGAUCUCAAUUCAAGGUUUGUGGCUGCCGGAUAGGUGAUGCAAAGAGGUUGUUGAGUAGCCUCUUGCCUCGCCCAUUGGCGAAGGGUUUGUUCGGGUGGUGGAUUUGGAGGCGGAUUCCCUCCAUGGUUGUCUCCCAUGGUAUGAGUAGUGGUUGAAGUUUCUGUGGGUGUAGUGUUUGGGUUGUGAUGAGUAGGUGAAGAGGGUGGGGUGGUAUUUCUGGAUGAGGAUGGUUGAGGUGAAGGUAAUGGACUUUCUGUUUCGGAUGCGGACACACUUGAGAGGGGAAUAUCCUCCCAAAUGUUAAUGACCGGGGGAUUGGAUGAUGAAGAAGUACCGGAAACCGGUUGCCUCUUACGAAGCUUGGCUUGCUUCCUUAACUUCUUUGCAGUCUUCUCUAUCUCCGAGUCAAUUGGCAGUGGUGUACCUGUACGAAAAGAUCUAGGCAUAAACAAUUAGUAACACCGUGUCCCCGGCAACGGCGCCAAUUUGUUAGGGGUGUCAAACCCAACAAAUAAUAGGGGUACAAUAGACUCCAAAUACACUGCUUUAAUGCACUAAAAAGUAGUACAAGGCAAGCAGGGUCGAACCACAGAGACACGGGACAAAAGUCUAUACCUUUUUGCACAAGGUACUUUGGUCACAAAGGGGGGUUUGUUUGCAAAAGUAAAUAACUAAAUAACAAUCUACUUUAAAAGCAUGCACAAAAUGAAAUAGAUUUGUAAACAAAUUGAUUGAAUGGUUCUAGUUCUAGUUCUCAAUGUUGUUGUUCAACUUGAUUAUGACUUGAUGUAAUUCAAGAUUGCUAUUCUAUGUUGGUACUGAAAGAUAUUAACACGCUCUAAUAACUCUCGCUUGCCAAAUUAUCUAACCAAAACACGCUCUUUGAUUAGACCUAGCUUUACUAAUUCAACCUAAACACGCUCUUAGAUUGUAUUGAAAAACCGCAUUAAGUUUUGUACAAGCUUCCCAACAAUGUUCAUUUCUUCUCAUACGCUCGGAAGUGUGAAAACAUGUGAUAUAUGUUUUACAAUAAGAAAACUUAUUGCUUGUUACCAAUUAUUAACUCAAUAGAACGAUUAGGUGCCCUAAAAGUUAAUUAACUGCACAAAAAUUCAAUUCAUGAAAGUGGCCAAUCAAACACAAAUCAAAUUCAAGGAUUCUAGUUUAAACAAAAACAUAAUCACUAGAAUAGAAUCACAAAUCAAACAUCAAAUCAUAUGCUUCAAGUCAAGCAAUCAACAUGUUUUGAACAAGAACUAGAAACUAGGGUUUCUUAGCCACACAUGGCUAAGAACAAAUCAAACAAGAAUAAAUAUGGAAUUGGAAUGUUUAAUCCUUACAAAAAUGAAAUCAAAGUGUUUGCAAUGAUUAGGUCUUCUCAAAAGCUCCAAGAAUUAUCCCAAAAAUCACCCAAGAUCGCCCAAACUGCUCCCAAAACCGUUCUCCCUUCAAAUGACGUUCUUCUGCUCUUUUAAUUAAAGUUCACGUGACUUGCCUUUUGCCCAUGUGUUUUUGGCAUGGCCAUGCCUUUUGCCCAUGUGUUUUUGGCAUGGCCCAUGCUUUUUGCUAAAAUUCCAAAAAGUCUUCACUUUGGCUCCAUCUUCAUGUUUUCUGCCAUGGAAUGACCGGUUCAUAUUCUCUUCAUGUUCCAAAGCUCUAUGCUCCAAGCAUCCAAGCAUCCAUGCAUCCAAGCUCCAUGUUCCAUGCUCCAUAAUGCCUGCAAAAUAAAUCAAAAAUAGUGAAAUACCAGGCAUUCUUAAUGAAAUAUGCAAUUACCUUAAUAAUCAACUAAAUGUAAGAAUUAUGAAGUAGAAUGCUAUAAAAAGACGGAAAUAAACAUGCAAAAUAGGUGCAUAAAAUGCACUUAUCAACCCUCUAGGAUACCGAUCUAAUAGAUCAUACUAGCAUAAAAUAACUAGAUAACAAUCCAAAGGGCCAGCCUUGGUGCCUUAGACCAUUAAGUAUAGUGAGGAUAACUCACCUUGCAACUGCCGAAUGGAAAUAGAAAGCUCAACUCUUGGAUCACCGCCACGAACUUCACCACCUAUAUCCAACAACACAAGGUUCAUAAAUUCCCAGAUACCCCAGAAGACAACUAGUCAACACUUGGCCACAGUCAAAGUCAACUACGAGGGUCAACAAUCCAUGUUGACCUGAACUUGUCGAGUGCAAUCGGCCACUCGCCGAGUUCUUUGCUUAACUCGUCCGCACGCCGAGUCACCAAAGUGACUCGUCGAGUUCCUAAGGUUCGCUGUCGAAACUCCUUGGCCACUCGUCGGGUUUUCCCCUAGCAACUCGACAAGUUCACAUGCAUCCAAUAGUUGGGAAAAACCCUAACCGACUCACCGAGUCACUUUACUGACUCGCCGAGUUGUUCAUCCAACUCGUUGAGUUCAGGACCAUCUUCAUAUGACUCGCCGAGUCGACCAUGCGACUCGCUGAGUCCCUUCAAUCCUUCAUUCAUACAGAUGCUUUUUAAGCUAUGUAAAGGCUCCAGAUUGUAUAUCCAACCUCCCAAGGCCUGCUUAUCACGUACAUUUGCAAACUUUACAUGUAUGCAAAGCUUUAAGACCCUAAAAUGACAAAACUAAUCUUGCAAUGAAUUCAACACUUGAGGGAAGGCUCAUACUUGCCAAAACUAUUACCUUUAUGGAUCUAGAGACCAAAGGAAGUCCAGAUCUGAAGUUUCAACUUCAGAUCUUGGCUCAAACACAAAAGCCUUUCUUAAAACCCACCCAAAAAGAGAUUAAAGACGAGAUAAGCCAAAGAGACAACUUAAUACCUUCCAGAGAGUGUCAACUGCUGUAUAUCCUUGCUUCCCACGAGUUCCUAGCUUUAAUUUACUUGUUUGCCCAAGUAUUCCUCACCAAGAUCUCUCUUCAAAUCUCUAUCACACCAAGGAAACACACACACACACACACACACACACCCGAUUAGGGUUUAAGGGUGCCAAGAAGCUGUAAAGGGCGGGUUGGGGAAGGCCAAUGUUCCUUUAAAUAGGGUGCAAAACCCCAAGAUUUAGGGUUUCAUCUGCAAGCUCUUACUCGUCGAGUCCCUUCUUGGAUUCGGUGAGUAGAUCACUAAAACACGCAGACCAACCCGCAGCUACUCAACGAGUAGGGCAGCCAACUCGUCGAUUAGACUUUCAAAUCAAUAAAUUUCUCACAUAAACCAAUACUUGAAAAUCGGGGCGUUACAGUUCUCCCCCACUUAAACUAGACUUCGUCCUCGAAGUCUGCCGUGGCGAACAGCUCCGGAUCGUGCUCCCGCAUCUCUGCCUCUAGCUCUCAUGUCCGUUUGGAUCCCCUCCCAUGCUCCAACUACACCUUCACCAAAGGUAUUUCCUUGUUUCGCAGAACUUUCAUCUUCCUCUCCAGAAUGGCCAUAGGCCUCUCCACAUAAUUCAGGCGCUCAUCGACCUGAAUAUCAUCCAAUGACACCAACUGCCUCCUGAUCCAUAAUACACUUUCGCAAAUUCAAAACGUGGAAAGUGUUGUGAAUUCGGCUAAGCUCCUUCGAUAGCUCUAGCCUAUAUGCUACCUUGCCAACCCUGGCAAGGAUCCCGAAUGGACCAAUGAAAUGGGGACCCAAUUUCCCCCUCUUCCUAAAGCGGAUCACACCCUUCCAGAGUGAGACUUUCAGGAGUACCAUGUCACCCACGUGAAACUCUAACUCCGAUCGGUGCCUGUCGGCGUAACUGUUCUGCCGACUCUGAGCGGUCUGCAAUCGCUGCCUAAUCUGCUGAAUUUUCUCGGUAGUUUGCAGAACUACCUCCGUCCUUCCCAUCACCCUGUGUCCAACCUCACCCCAACAAACCGAGGUGCGACAUCUCCAUCCAUACAACAUCUCGAAAGGUGGGGCGCCAAUGCUGUAAUGAUAGUUGUUGUUGUAGACAAACUCUGCAAGCGGUUGGUGGGAAUCCUAACUCCCACUAAAGUCAAUGACACACGCCCUCAACAUAUCCUCGAGGGUAUGAAUGGUUUGCUCGCUCUGACCAUCGGUCUAAGGAUGAAAUGUUGUACUAAAAUUCAGUCAUGUGCCCAGUUCCUCGUGGAACUUCUUCUAGAAACGGGAGGUAAAUCUAGCAUCCCGGUCAAAAACAAUGGAGACCGGAACCCCAUGGCGAGUGACGACCUCACAAACGUACAUGUCGACCAACUUCUCAGCCGAAGAACUCUCCCAUAUAGCCAAGAAAUGGGCACUCUUGGUCAAUCGAUCUACGAUGACCCAUAUGACAUCAAACCCUUUUGUUGUCCUUGGUAGUUUGGUAAUGAAAUCCAUCGUGAUCUGCUCCCAUUUCCACAUGGGAAUCUCUAGAGGCUGCAACAUACCAUGCAACCUCUGAUGCUCAGCCUUGACCAUCCUGCAGGUCAAACACCUCUUGACAUACCAAGCGAUUUCUCGCUUCAUACAUGGACAUCAAUAACUCAAACUUAGGUCUCGGUACAUCUUGGUGGCCCCCGGGUGAAUAGAGAAGUGAGACUUAUGAGCCUCCUCCAUGACUGUUUGUCUGACCCCACCAGACAUCGGAACCCAUACCCAACCGCAUCCGGUCAAUAAUCCCCGACUAUCCUGCUCAAACUGGGUGUUCUCACCCUUGAUCCUCUCUAACUUCCAAUUCUCCGUUCGUGUGCCCUCAACCUAAGCAUACGACCUCACAAACGUACAUGUCGACCAACUUCUCAGCCGAAGAACUCUCCCAUAUAGCCAAGAAAUGGGCACUCUUGGUCAAUCGAUCUACGAUGAACCAUAUGGCAUCAAACCCUUUUGUUGUCCUUGGUAGUUUGGUAAUGAAAUCCAUCGUGAUCUGCUCCCAUUUCCAGAUGGGAAUCUCUAGAGGCUGCAACAUACCAUGCAACCUCUGAUGCUCAGCCUUGACCAUCCUGCAGGUCAAACACCUCUUGACAUACCAAGCGAUUUCUCGCUUCAUACAUGGACAUCAAUAACUCAAACUCAGGUCUCGGUACAUCUUGGUGGCCCCCGNGACUUAUGAGCCCCCUCCAUGACUGUCUGUCUGCCCCCCCCAGACAUCGGAACCCAUACCCAACCGCAUCCGGUCAAUAAUCCCCGACUAUCCUGCUCAAACUGGGUGUUCUCACCCUUGAUCCUCUCUAACUUCCAAUUCUCCGUUCGUAUGCCCUCAACCUAAGCAUACCUGAUCAAGCUCAUAAGCGGAGAAUCCACCUCUAUCCUCAUACACACUGCUGGGGUGGAAGACCUAGCUGCCUUGUAGCUCAAAGCAUCCGCCACCAUAUUCUCUUUACCGGGAUGGUAAAGGAUCUCACAGUCGUAGUCCUUGACUACAUCCAACCACCUAUGCUGCCUCAUGUUCAGGUUCGGCUGGUCCAUGAUGUGUCUCAAACUCUUGUGAUCUGUGUAUAUGGUACAACGGACCCCAUAUAGGUAAUGUCUACAUAUCUUGAGAGUGAACACCACCAUUCCUAUCUCUAAAUCAAGAGUAGGAUACCUCAACUCAUGCGGCUUCAGCUGCCGCGACGUAUAGGCUAUCAUCCGUCCUCUCUACAUGAGGACUGCCCCCAAACCUGUGAUGGAUGCAUCACAGAACACCAGAAAAUCCUCCACUCCCUCUGGAAGUGUCAAAACUGGGGCCUCGCACAACCACUGACGGAGGGUCUCAAACACCCUCUGCUACUCAGGGCCCCACCGGAAAUCCACCCCCUUCCUCGUCAGACGAGUGAGGGGUACCGCAAUCUCGAAUAAAUCUCCGGUAGUACCCUGCUAAACCAAGAAAACUCCUGAUAUCUGAGGGAGAUCUCGGUACCUCCCACUGCAUGACUGCCUCGAUCUUGGUUGGGUCAACCAAAAUCCCCUCCUAAUUGACGAGAUGUCCUAGGAACUGGACCUAUCGCAACCAAAACUCGCACUUCGAGAACUUAGCAUACAACCGUUCUCAUCUCAAAACUUCCAAUAACUCCCUGAGGUGCUCCUCGUGCUGCUAUCGGGUCUUGGAAUAUACCAAGAUAUCAUCAAUAAAUACGAUGACUGAGCGAUCAAGCAUCAGUCUGCAGACCCGAUUCAUCAGGUCCAUGAAUACUGGCGGCGCGUUGGUGAGCCCAAACGACAUCACCACAAACUCAAAAUGACCAUAACAAGUAUGGAAUGCGGUCUUCUCCACGUCCUCCUCUUUGACCCGGAACUGAUGACACCCUGGCCUCAAAUAAAUCUUGGAGAACCAAGAUGCACCCUGUAACUGAUCGAAGAGGUCAUCUAUCCUCGGGGGUGGAUAACGGUUCUUCACCGUCAACUUGUUCAGCUCCCUAUAGUCAAUGCACAUUCGGUGCGAUCCGUCCUUCUUCCUGAAGAAAAGGAUCAAUGCUCCAUAUGGAGAAUUGCUAGGUCAAUGAACUACUUGCCCAACAGUUCCUGCAGCUGUGACGAAAGCUCCUGCAUCUCUGGCGGUGCCAACCGGUAUGGCGCCUUGGCGAUAGGGGCUGCACCAGGCACCAAGUCGAUCCUAAACUCGACCUGCCUCUCCGUAGGUAUCCCUGGCAACUCCUCCGGAAACACGUCUGCAAAAUCCAUGACUACAGGAACCUCGAAGACUAAAGUCUGAUCCCUGGCUCGCGUAUCCACUACAUAUGCCAGAAAACCUGCACACCCAUGCUGAAUAUAUUGUCGAGCCCUGGCAGCUGAACAGAAAACCCUGAUCCCAUUCUGGUGCCCUCUCCAUAAACAAUCAGUUCUCCCCCACUUGGGGUUCGAACUACCACUCGCUGGCCCUCGCAAUCUAUCAUGGCACCAAAUCGACUAAGCCAGUCCAUCCCCACAAUCACACAUACUUCUCCCAUGGGAAUCAAAAUCAAAUAAUCCGAAAGGAUACGCUAAAGAUUUCCAACUCGCAUCCUCGGUAGACCGAAGAAGUAGAAACCCCGUGUUCAUUGGCGAUAGAGACUCGUAACGGACACUCUAACUCGCCCUCUAGCACACCAAACUCCCUACUAAACGACUGAGAUACAAAAGACCAACUCGCCCCUGAGUCAAAUAGAACCAAAGCGGGCAAUGAAUUCACUAAGAGCGUACCUAGGCACAGUUACAGCAGAUAAGCAUAUCAAAGAUAUAAUAAAUGAGGUAAAGGAUAGAAACAUACCAAAAACCACAUCCGAUGCCUCCCUGGCCUCCUCGGACGUAAGCUAGAAGGCACGACCCUGAGCCUUCAAAGGAUCUGCCUUAACUGGCCUCCCGUCUGCAAUCCUCUAGGUAGCCGGCGCUGGAGCCUAUGCCGGCCUGGCGGCUAGAAGAGGACAUUGGGUCUUCAUAUGGCCCACCUGCUCAUAGUGAUAACAAAGUCUGACUUCGGAAGCUGGAGCCUGCUAUCUAUAAUCCCUGGCCAAAUGGCCCUACUUGCCACACCGGUGGCACCCACUCCCUGAUCGGCACGUCCUUGAAUGAGCCUUUCCGCACUUUCCACAAGUACGGCCUGGCUGUCCCCCAAUCCUGGUAUCGGAGGUCUUGGACCGCUUCGGCGCCGGUGGCGACUAUGUUGGGGCCUGCCGCUGCUCCCUUAACUGCAGCUCGAUCUCCAACUCAUGCCGCCUAGCGGCCUCCUGUAACUCAAAAAGAGUAUCACAUCGUUGGGUAGACACAAACUGACGAAUGUCAUUCUUAAGCAUGCUCAGAUAACGGGUCAUCUGAGCUUGCUCAGAAGCAAACUCUGGGCAGAACAACGCCCUCUCUGUGAACAUGUGGGUGAUCUCCGUCACCGACUCCCCGUCCUAUCUCAAACUCAAAAACUCCUGAGCCAAACAUUCCCUCUUAACCCGUGGAAUGUAACGGGCGCGGAACAUGCCCGUAACUGCUCCUAAGUAACAACAACUCUCUGCUCAUCAGAGUACGACCCUGUUGUCAGCCUCCACCAGUCCUUGGCCCCGAGCAUGAGCAGGUUCAGGGCACACCUGACCUUCUGGUCAGCAGGACAUGAACAGGUAAAGAAACAUCCCUCCACAUUGGAGACCCAUCUCAUAGCCUUGAUGGGGUCCUGAGUCUUAUCAAAAGUAGGGGGCUUCCUGUUGUCGAAGUCCCUGUACUGGAAUCCGCGACCGACUCCAACUCUACCUCCUGCCGCUGUUACAGCUGAUGUAGCUGCAACGGCAGCCGUCUCCGCAAGGGCUGUGUAUCUGUCAUCAAAGUAAUCCAUCAUGGAGGACUUGCAUGAUAGUCCCAAACAACUUCGGAAUCUGACUCCGGACAAUCUCGACCACCUCCUCGCGGAUGAUCUCCCUGACUUGAUCAUCUACCAACACUGGCUCCUCCUGAAUUGAUAACCUCAUGGGCUACUGGGGCCUCCUGAUCACCCUGCCCUGAUCUCGAUCCGGAUCCUGACACAAAAUGCCUCAUAACCACCAUACUUAAAAUACAAUAGGAAGAUAUCAGAUAAUCUGCACAAUAACAGGGGACUAAAUCCCAACCAAACCCUAGGGGUUGUGACUUCCUUGCUAAGCGUAUGGGUCCUGUGCUUUCAGUAGUACAAGCCCAUACUACCUUCCAUACCUACCCAUAUUUGUCUCAAAUAUCACCACAACACCCUAUCCAUAUACAUAAACAUAGGGAACACUCAAUCCUCAUCCCUAGAGGAAUAACUAUCUCAUAAUUGGCCUCCGGACCUCUCGCAACCCACCCAUGAAACUUCCACCAACCAUGUAGCACUAAUGUAUGCUAGCCAGACAUAAUGCUGGACCCUAUAGACUUUUGAAUGUCCAAUCCUACCAUAAGCCCUAAUCAAUAAGAAGAGAACAUAAGGCCAAAUCAAACAUUCUCAGGCUAUAAGAUCUUAAUUACAUACAGUUGUGAUGCAUACACAAACAACUACUGUAAUGAUGUCAAUCUCAUAUAAGGAAAACCCUAGGCUAGCAGGCAUCAUGUAAUCAGACAAUUCUAUCAUGCAAUUCCUGAGGAUCCCUAGCCUGGUACUAGCAUGUUGUUCUAACAUAUCAUAUAAUCAAAUAACUAUAUGGUAUUUUCGGGUUUACUUACUGGCUCUGGCUGAUCAUACACUCUGCAUCCUCCUUUACUUAUUUCAGAAAACCAUUUAGAAUUUUUUUUUUGAAAAUCCUUCCUCGAUUUGAGAUUGGAUUCACACGAGUGUUCCUCCAAUUCACUCAAAUCAAGGCUCUGAUACCAACUUGUAACACCUACAAAAUUCAAGCCAAUUUUAAACUUUUCAAAACAUUUAAAGCUAAUAGUUAUUACAAUUUUUUCUUCGAAAUAGUCUAUAUCAGAGUUUUCCCAGAAAUCAUAACAAAAUAUGAGGAGCUGUACGCUCACGCCUUCGCCAUGUUGUGAUCCCCUGAUGUACCUGAAACAAUAACUAAAACCGUAAGCCCAAAAGCUUAGUGAGCUCCCCCAAAAUACCCACGCACACAUUAAUACACAUAGAAUCAUAAACAACAUACUAUGGGUCUAGUUAACCAUCGGGUCGGAAUACCCUAGGCCCUUAAACAACAGGUUGGAAUGGAAACAUACUAUGGGUCCAAUCAUCCUCGGGAUGGAAUACCCAGACCCACAACCAACAUGUUGGAAUGCCCACAUACUAUGAGUCCAAUCAUCCUCGGGAUGGAAUACUCACGGCCCACAACCAAUAGGUUGGAAUGCCCAGUUCUAUUGGCCUCCGCACAAGGAAGAUAAGCCUCAACCGCCAAACAAACAUGUGCACAUAUAUAUAAUAGAUAAUCACAUAUCAGUCUAUAGACAACAAC